GUAUCUUUGGGGAAUGAGAAUAUGUGUUUGAGCCUCUAUGUGUAUGUUCACUCUCUCACGGAACAAUGGAACAUCUUUAAGAAUGAUGGAGAUGGAUUUCAAUGAGAAAGUACUAUGCCUAAUCUGAGGCAGAAUUAUUUAUCUGCAAAGAAAUCCUCUGCAGAAAAACAAAGUAAUGGGGUCCAUGAUGGUGAGAAAGAGGCUA